UACGUAGGGUGCAAGCGGUAAUCGGAAUUACUGGGCGUAAAGCGUGCGCAGGCGGUUUUGUAAGUCAGAUGUGAAAUCCCCGGGCUUAACCUGGGAACUGCGUUUGAAACUACAAGGCUAGAGUGUGGCAGAGGGGGGUGGAAUUCCACGUGUAGCAGUGAAAUGCGUAGAGAUGUGGAGGAACACCGAUGGCGAAGGCAGCCCCCUGGGUUAACACUGACGCUCAGGCACGAAAGCGUGGGGAGCAAACAGG
rnacentral:rRNA from 1 species